CCAGGAUCCUUAUGCUGGUCCUUGCACUUUGCACCAUGUGCGCUUUACCGCUUUGCUACCGCCUGGCUCCUAUCAUUGCUGUUAUUAUUACUGUUGUUACUGCUAUCAUUGUUGUUGGAUAGGACAGAGAGAAACUGAGAGAGAAGACAGAGAGGGGUAGAGAAAGAUAAGACACCUGCAGACCUGCUUCACAGACCUCCCCUGCAGGUGGGGAGCCAGAGGCUUGAACAGGAAUCCUUGUGCUCAUCUUUGCGCUUCAUGCCAUGUGUGCUUAACCCACUGCACUACUGCCUGGCCGCCUACAAUGAGUUUAUUAUAAUGACUAUUUUAUUUUUGUAUAUUCUUCUAGACUUUGCAACAUGUUUCCUUCCAUCUGUAUAGGAAAUUGUUGUAAUAUGAAGGUGAUGUGACAAUUUUUAUACAUUACUUUGUGGCCUAACAUUUAGGAUAGUCCUAUGUGCUCUUAGGACUUUAAAUACAUUAUUUUAAUUUGCAUUUCCUCUUUAUCAUUAAGGUAAAACACGCAUGUUCUCAUUUCAGUCAUCAAUGAGAUUAUGGCUUCUAGUCAUUACACAGUGUUUUCUAUACCUUACUACUGGGUUGCUGAACAAAAAAAUAUGUCAUGACCUUUUGAACAACUUAGUAUAAUUAAAACUGCUUUAAAAAAGAAAUUCCCCCCCAAAACUAAACUGUGUUGGGCUGUUAAUUUAAGAGAAAGAAAACUGUAACAGCAAUGAUGUCUGUUGUCUGGCAGUUGUACCUUACCUCAUUAACGUUGAUUUUUGACUUUGCGGAAGAUUCUAAAAAGGCACAGUUACACCACUGUCUUGCUAAAUUCUGACCCUGUUCUUUGCCAACUACUCGCUCAUCUUCCAGAUCACAUUUAUUACCAACCAAAAUCAUUGGAACCUGUGAAAAGGGGGGAAAAAAACAAAUAACAAAAGAUGAGCAUAAACAUAGUUGUUAAUUAGCAUCUUCUUAUAAGCAAGCAGUUAUCUGCCAGUAAGUUAAGGCUGUGAGCUUCACCAAGCACUUAAAUAUCUGUAUGUGGGUGUUGGAGGAAAUAAGGCAGAUGAAGGCAAAGACAGAAAAAAACAUGCAAGAGAUUUGCCAAACUAUUUAAAAAAUAGAUAAUCCCAAAAUUAUCUAUUUUGGAAUAUUAUUUGUAACUGAAUUAUGUGGAAUAUUAUUUGUAGCUGAAUUCUCUCUGUGUGUGUGUGUAAACACCACCCUAAAGGAGACUUCUGUAACACAGAGAAAUACUCACUGAAUCUAUCUGCAAUUUAAAUGCUUCAUCUCACAACAAAUACCACAAGAUGUGGCAAAAUCAACACCAUAUCUAAUUCUACAUUUGACAUAUAAAUCUGAAGGCAGGUCUAAGUGAAUUGUUAAGGAGAAUUGGCAACAACAACAAAGGUGCAAUGAAGUGGUCCUUCUCUAUACCAACAAGGCUUGCCUACAGUCAUCCAUAACUUCAUACUUCCAAUAAAAUAGGUUGCUAACAAACAGUAUAAAA